AUUGAACGCUGGCGGCAGGCCUAACACAUGCAAGUCGAGCGGUAGCACAGAGAGCUUGCUCUCGGGUGACGAGCGGCGGACGGGUGAGUAAUGUCUGGGAAACUGCCUGAUGGAGGGGGAUAACUACUGGAAACGGUAGCUAAUACCGCAUAAUGUCGCAAGACCAAAGUGGGGGACCUUCGGGCCUCAUGCCAUCAGAUGUGCCCAGACGGGAUUAGCUAGUAGGUGGGGUAACGGCUCACCUAGGCGACGAUCCCUAGCUGGUCUGAGAGGAUGACCAGCCACACUGGAACUGAGACACGGUCCAGACUCCUACGGGAGGCAGCAGUGGGGAAUAUUGCACAAUGGGCGCAAGCCUGAUGCAGCCAUGCCGCGUGUGUGAAGAAGGCCUUCGGGUUGUAAAGCACUUUCAGCGGGGAGGAAGGCGGUGAGGUUAAUAACCUCAUCGAUUGACGUUACCCGCAGAAGAAGCACCGGCUAACUCCGUGCCAGCAGCCGCGGUAAUACGGAGGGUGCAAGCGUUAAUCGGAAUUACUGGGCGUAAAGCGCACGCAGGCGGUCUGUCAAGUCGGAUGUGAAAUCCCCGGGCUCAACCUGGGAACUGCAUUCGAAACUGGCAGGCUAGAGUCUUGUAGAGGGGGGUAGAAUUCCAGGUGUAGCGGUGAAAUGCGUAGAGAUCUGGAGGAAUACCGGUGGCGAAGGCGGCCCCCUGGACAAAGACUGACGCUCAGGUGCGAAAGCGUGGGGAGCAAACAGGAUUAGAUACCCUGGUAGUCCACGCCGUAAACGAUGUCGAUUUGGAGGUUGUGCCCUUGAGGCGUGGCUUCCGGAGCUAACGCGUUAAAUCGACCGCCUGGGGAGUACGGCCGCAAGGUUAAAACUCAAAUGAAUUGACGGGGGCCCGCACAAGCGGUGGAGCAUGUGGUUUAAUUCGAUGCAACGCGAAGAACCUUACCUGGUCUUGACAUCCACAGAACUUUCCAGAGAUGGAUUGGUGCCUUCGGGAACUGUGAGACAGGUGCUGCAUGGCUGUCGUCAGCUCGUGUUGUGAAAUGUUGGGUUAAGUCCCGCAACGAGCGCAACCCUUAUCCUUUGUUGCCAGCGGUUAGGCCGGGAACUCAAAGGAGACUGCCAGUGAUAAACUGGAGGAAGGUGGGGAUGACGUCAAGUCAUCAUGGCCCUUACGACCAGGGCUACACACGUGCUACAAUGGCAUAUACAAAGAGAAGCGACCUCGCGAGAGCAAGCGGACCUCAUAAAGUAUGUCGUAGUCCGGAUUGGAGUCUGCAACUCGACUCCAUGAAGUCGGAAUCGCUAGUAAUCGUAGAUCAGAAUGCUACGGUGAAUACGUUCCCGGGCCC
rnacentral:rRNA from 1 species